GAUACUUGAUACUUCAUUUAAAGCUGAGAGUUGUGUCUGUAUCUUCAAGACUUAGAUUCAGAGCUGAGUUACUUGGCUAUAUGAGGAAGCCUCUUUGCUGAUACAGAUCAUGUAGUGAUGGUGUGCGAAGUCCUAGACAGCAGCAAUUUGAUUCAACAACAUUCUGACAGUGGUGAGAGGCAGAAGCUCUCUUCUCUACACAACUCUAUGGGCUUACAUAUCUGAAAUUCAGUUGAAUUCAGACAAAAUUCAAGUGAUAUAGUGAAACGGAGUUUGUGAUGUCAACUUGCCUAAGCUGAACAAAAUAACAAAAUAUGGGAAACUAUCAGGACAAUUUCCUAAAUUGAACACUCUUUCAUGGAAAAAAGUAAAUUGGAACCUGCACUUGUGAGGCUUGGAAACUACCACCUAAGAUGUUUAAAAGGAAAACUGUCGUUUGCCUCAAAAUGUUUAUCCUUGGGAAGGAAUCAAUAUUGUGCUGACUUUCUCCCCAUACCUAAGUUGGCUUUGCUCCAAUAGUAUUAUUUCCCUCUUUACAAAGUAAAAGUCCAAACAAAAAAACUGUUACUUAAAUAAGUUCCUCUCUAAUUUAUUUGUUCCCCAAUGUCACCAGCUCAAAGACAUUUACAAUAAACUCCAUAUUGGAAAUUGCAAAUCUUUCCACAUUGCUAGCACUCAUGGUCACUUUAUAAAUUAUGUAUUUCUUCUUUCAUUGUUUCAUGUGCUUAUAUAUAUGUGCAUGUGUAUAUAUAUACAUAUACACACACACACAACAUACCUGUUCAAACAUUUAUUGUUUACUAUUAAUAUUGUUUGGCUCUAUGUCCCCACUCAUAUCUCAUCUCGAAUUGUAAUCCCCACACAUCAAGGGAGGGACCUGGUGGGAGGUGACUGUAUCAUGGGGGGUGGAUUCCCCCAUGCUGUUCUUAUGAUGGUGAGAUAGUUCUCACAAGAUCCGGUGGUUUAAAAGUGUUUGGCAGUUCCCUCCUCACUCUCCCUCUCUUGUCGCCUUAUGAAGAAGGUCCUUGCCUCCCCUUUACCUUCCACCAUGAUUGUAAGUUUCCUGAGGCCUCCCCAGCCAUGUGGAACUGUCAGUCAAUUAAAACUUUUUCUUCAUAAAUUACCCAGUCUCAGGAAGUUCUUUAUAGCACUGUGAAAACACACUAAUACAACCAUUCACCAAUGUAGUUUUGCCGGCAUAAUUUGUACUCUCUCUGCCCCCACUCUCAGAAAAAUCAUAAUACUCCUUCAGUGUUCUAAUAAUCUUAGACAAUGGGCUAUAUCUGUUCUCCAGCUUGGGUUUCAGCUCACUAUUUACUGCUUUGGUCUCUUGUCAUAUUGUCAAAUGGACAUUAGUGGUGGGGCUCUUUAAUCCAAUUCGAAAUGCAGCCACAACAUUCAGAUAACUUUGGGAUUGCUGAAAGAGAAGACCACAUACCUACAUCUACGAUUAUUUUUUUCAUAUAUUUAGUCAGAGACACAGUAUUUAAUGGGACUAUCAUUAAUAGAGUUACCAUCAUUGGUGUACAUACAACAAAUCCUAGUAAUAUUUUUUUUCUCAUCUCUUGUAUCCCUAAUGCAGUGAACAUCAGUUGGUAACACUUUUUAAGCUGAUAGAGUCUUGUCAGUUUUUUAAAAAUAAAUCACUUUUAGCUAUGCCAAUGCCCUUUUAUCCAGCAAGUCAUGAAGCCACUGUGGGGAUUUUUCCAGUGACUAAACAUGCCUAUCCCAAUUACAGAUUCAGGUACUGGAGUGAAAAACACAGGAUAGACCUCUGGACCCACUGGGCCCACUGUGAGUUUGACCUCAGUCUCCAUCUAUCACCAGAGCACUUUAUGUUCCCUCUCUGGUGGACCACAGUGCAAUUUUUGGUCCCCACAAAUUAGUGUUCAUUCAAAGUCAGGGCCUCGUAAUCUCCAAAAGUUCUGCUCAUUUUAUUUUCCCCUAUGUAGUCACUCUUGUAAAUGGCCACAGCCCUUUCAGGAAGGCUAGAUGGAAGAUUUAUUGUGUGUACAUAUGGCAGUGGUCCAUUAUUGCAGAACAGGUAGUAAAGAGUAAAUUUGUAGCUGAGAGGCAAUAAAUUGAUAACUGGCACAAAGUGUGAAGAGAAUAUAGAGCAUUUCAAAUGAAGGACUUAGACCAUUAUAAUAAAAUGUGGCAAAAUUUAUAUCAAAGACAAUUUAGUCUCUAAGGAGAAUAAAUGUCAAAUAAGAGGAAUGCUUUCUUGAGGAGCAGAUAUUUGAUGCCAUAUUGUAAAACAUUAGAAGAAUAUAUUCACCCCUAUUCAAUAGUCUUAUAAGGUUAAUAAUAUCAAGGGAUGUGUCCUAGAAAUAUUAUCCAUCCUACCAGGGUUGAAAGUAUACUUGACACAUAAUAAGUUUGUACUGAAUCUACUUCUCUUUUCGAUGAGCUUAGAAUGUACAAAUAUUUCUAAUGAUGAAACAGUAUGAAGGCACAUGUUCUGUAGGGGAAUAAAAGUUUCAGCUGUGUACAUUUCUUAUAAAAAUAGUAUUAUUGUACUAUAAGCACUUUAAUAACUGCUUUUCACCUCUCAUUUAAUCAUGUCUGUUAACAACCUUCUAUUACCAUCAGAUGACAAAUAUUUAUCAGUUGUCCCC
rnacentral:lncRNA from 10 species